AUUAGGGAUAAUCGAGCUAAGGUAACGGUAGAAAAUUGAAAUCUCAAUAAUUUGGCCUUUAUUGGGAUUGGGAAGAGGCACUACUAAACAACAACCAUUUGUUAUAGUUGGGAAUUUGGGACAAAGAUAAAAAUGCAUAUCAUGAAGAUCUAGUGAUAGUAAUUGAUAUUAUUGUUCUCCUGACGCAAAGGAUGUCAAAGAAAUUGCUUGUUAACAAAAUGUAGA
rnacentral:lncRNA from 1 species